UACGUAGGGCGCAAGCGUUAUCCGGAAUUAUUGGGCGUAAAGAGCUCGUAGGCGGUCUGUUGCGUCCGCUGUGAAAACUCGGGGCUUAACCCCGAGCCUGCAGUGGAUACGGGCAGACUAGAGGUAGGUAGGGGAGAAUGGAAUUCCCGGUGUAGCGGUGAAAUGCGUAGAGAUCCGGAAGAACACCGGAGGCGAAGGCGGCUUGCUGGGCGUGAUCUGACGCUGAGGCGCGAAAGCGUGGGGAGCGAACAGG
rnacentral:rRNA from 1 species